CCUCCAACAUGUUAAUGAAUGUGUAUGGAAGGUUAGAUUGGAUUAGAAUGGAAACCAUGCUGGGAGUUGCUGUUGUCCUCUCUCUCUCUCUCUCUCUCUCUCUCUCUCUCUCUCUCUCCCAAUUCAAUUGGGAUUUAUCGACACGGGAAAUAUAUAUUUAGUGAAAUAAACAAUGAACAAAAUUGAGAAGAAACAAAUGUAACAUAAAAAACAUUAGAAAUCAACAGGAAACAUUGCACACAAAAAGGUUUAAAAAAGAAAGACAUUUCAAGUGUUAUAUUAUCAGUUAUGUGCAGUGUUUUAGCAAUGUGCAAAUAGUUAAUAGCACACUGUGGUAUUUCUGCUAACACAUAUGGGAGUUUAUCAGUGCUGGAUUUCUUUUCAAAUUAUUUAUGGGUCUGUGUGAUCUGUGGGAAAUAUGUAUCUCUAAUAUGGUCAUUAUUUGGCAGGAGGUUAGGAAGUGAAGCUCAGUUUCCACCUCAUUAUGUGUACAGUGGGCACAUAUACUGCCUUCUCUUGAGAGCCAGGUCUGCCUAAGGAGACCUCUCUCAAUAGCAAGGCUAUGCUCACUGAGUCUAUACAUACUCAAAGCUUUUCUUAAUUUUGGGUCAGUGACAGUGGUCAGGUAUUCUGCCACUGUGUACUCUCUGUUUAGGGCCAGUCACAGUGGUCAGGUAUUCUGCCACUGUGUUCUCUCUGUUUAGGGCCAGUCACAGUGGUCAGGUAUUCUGCCACUGUGUACUCUCUGUUUAGGGCCAGUCACAGUGGUCAGGUAUUCUGCCACUGUGUACUCUCUGUUUAGGGCCAGUCACAGUGGUCAGGUAUUCUGCCACUGUGUACUCUCUGUUUAGGGUCAGUCACAGUGGUCAGGUAUUCUGCCACUGUGUACUCUCUGUUUAGGGCCAGUCACAGUGGUCAGGUAUUCUGCCACUGUGUUCUCUCUGUUUAGGGCCAGUCACAGUGGUCAGGUAUUCUGCCACUGUGUACUCUCUGUUUAGGGCCAGUCACAGUGGUCAGGUAUUCUGCCACUGUGUACUCUCUGUUUAGGGCCAGUCACAGUGGUCAGGUAUUCUGCCACUGUGUACUCUCUGUUUAGGGCCAGUCACAGUGGUCAGGUAUUCUGCCACUGUGUACUCUCUGUUUAGGGCCAGUCACAGUGGUCAGGUAUUCUGCCACUGUGUCCUCUCUGUUUAGGGCCAGUCACAGUGGUCAGGUAUUCUGCCACUGUGUCCUCUCUGUUUAGGGCCAGUCACAGUGGUCAGGUAUUCUGCCACUGUGUACUCUCUGUUUAGGGUCAGUCACAGUGGUCAGGUAUUCUGCCACUGUGUACUCUCUGUUUAGGGUCAGUCACAGUGGUCAGGUAUUCUGCCGCUGUGUACUCUCUGUUUAGGGCCAGUCACAGUGGUCAGGUAUUCUGACACUGUGUACUCUCUGUUUAGGGUCAGUCACAGUGGUCAGGUAUUCUGCCACUGUGUUCUCUCUGUUUAGGGCCAGAUAGCGUUCCAAUUUGCUCUGUUUUUUUGUUGAUUCUUUCCAGUGUGUCAAAUAGUUGUCUUUUUGCUUUCUCAUAAUUUGGUUGGG